GACGAACGCUGGCGGCGUGCUUAACACAUGCAAGUCGAACGGAAAGGCCCUGCUUUUGUGGGGUGCUCGAGUGGCGAACGGGUGAGUAACACGUGAGUAACCUGCCCUUGACUUUGGGAUAACUUCAGGAAACUGGGGCUAAUACCGGAUAGGAGCUCCUGCUGCAUGGUGGGGGUUGGAAAGUUUCGGCGGUUGGGGCUGGACUCGCGGCUUAUCAGCUUGUUGGUGGAGUAGUGGCUUACCAAGGCUUCGACGGGUAGCCGGCCUGGGAGGGUGGCCGGCCACAUUGGGACUGAGAUACGGCCCAGACUCCUACGGGAGGCAGCAGUGGGGAGUAUUGCACAAUGGGCGGAAGCCUGAUGCAGCAACGCCGCGUGCGGGAUGACGGCCUUCGAGUUGUAAACCGCUUUCGCCUGUGACGAAGAGUGAGUGACGGUAAUGGGUAAAGAAGCACCGGCUAACUACGUG
rnacentral:rRNA from 1 species